GGGGGUGUAGCUCAGCUGGGAGAGCACUUGCCUUGCACGCAAGGGGUCAGGAGUUCAAUCCUCCUCAUCUCCACCA
rnacentral:tRNA from 1 species